UGUCUCAUUGCUAACCUGUAAGCGUUUCUUUUUUUGUGUUGCGCAGAAUAAAUUCGGCAUUAAACAACUUGGGAGUGUAGUGAACUGCACAGAAUGUCUGAUGUCAUGUUUAAGAUAUGGAAGAAAACCAAACAGGUGACAUGUCCUGAAUAAAUAAACAAUGAACCAGAAUGAACAGGGCUCAAAUCUCCACAGAGUGACCAAAGAGCUGAACCGGCCAAUCAGAUGAUGUGUCCACCCUUCUGUCAAUGACAAGUGUUGCCACCUGCAUACAAAUGUGUUCUUCCUCCUCCCUGCUGUUUCCCUCAUUAUCAAGCACACCAGCUUCAUUUACAUCUUUUUUUCCUGCCCUGCACACAUCUGUCGUCUCCUACAUGCUAGUUCCCUAUCCCUCAGGACGUAUCCUACCACCCAGGUCAAUGGAAUAAGAGAGAAUAGCCUGGCAACUACAAGGUUAAAAGAACCGUGUCC
rnacentral:lncRNA from 1 species